UGUGACCCCCUAGAACGGCCUUUCUUCUUCCCAUAUCCAUCUUGCCUCUCCGUACUUGCCUAGUACAUGGUGCAACCAUGAUUACCUCUUCUAGGUUGUCACUCUCUGUCUUCCUCAACAUCGCAUGGGAUAUGAGAGUGGUGCCAACCUCAUUUAACCCAAGGGAAUCUUUUCCAUACAUCAGUGUAGUCCUCAGAUGCUCGUAUGAUGGUGGUAAGGAGACCAACAGGAUAAUUGCUUUAUCUUUGUCCUCAAUUUUUGCGUCGAGACAACCGAUUUGUCAAUGUCUUAGACUUAUACCUACUCUCCAACUUAGCCCAAAGUUCGUCCAGAUAGGUUUCGUUGAUGACUUCCUGAAGAGUGUUAUUCCCGAGCUAUAAUUAGGAUUGUUACUGAUUGCCAAUUACUGCAUCUCUUCCCACUCCUCCUUCAUCUUUUCUAGCUUUUUAGACUUAUCCUUGAGAGUCUUGAUUAGUCCCUCACGCGUCAAGAUAUUCUUCACCCUUUACUGCCAUAAGGUGAAAUUGUUGUACCCAUUGAAAAGUUCAGUUACGAAACGUGAACUCUUCGAUGCCAUGAACUCUGUAUGCCAAUGCCAACGCCGCACUAUCUGAACUCGUCUCACUAUCAUAUAUCCAUGCCUCUUGUCACUGGCAGCCCUUAUCACCUUUGAUCAAACCACAUUGCUCCUGAUUGACCUUGAUCACGUCUGAUCAAUCUUGUCCUCCACUGAUAUGUCCAAUCCUGUAAAUCAUUGCUGAAUCUACAAUUUUUGUACCGUCUUGAUGAACUCACAACGCUUCAAACCACUCCUUCCUCAAAUAUUUCUGCAAUAUAUACGAUACAAUAUAGCAAAAACAAUUUUGAACCGUUGAUUCUUUGAGAGCAUGCCACAUCAGGUUAUCUCCCUCUUUGACCAAGUCAAAGUCCAAAAAUAAUUUCAACAAACAAUCAUUCUUCUUGUCUCGAUACGCGUGCAAGAAGAACCAAAGUGAUUAUUGCCUUGUUUUUUUGUGCAACACCAAUUGCAUCCGUGGGUCUCUGCCGCUGAAAACACUGCUUUGUUGUGUCAAUGAGCCGCUAAUUCCUUAUUUUUCCCUUCAUGACCUCGGAUCGCUUGCCAUGGCUUUGAUAUCACUUGUUAGAAUUUUUGGAUCCCACAAACGCGAACGGAAUCACACCACGCACUAAAAAGAGAAAAAAUCACAUACGCAUAAACUUACACGGUUCACUUACCUACGUCCACGAGUGAGGGAGAAAAUUCCACGACGUCAAUGUGAUAAGAGUACAAAGCUAGAAAACAUGGACACUCCAAACAACAGCAUGCCAUUUGCGUGUCGGACACUCCUAGGACAAAGACACGCGUUGGAAAUGUUAUUUAUUUAUUUUUUGAAGGUAAGACACGCGUGGGACAGAUCCCUUCAAAGGACACGACAGAGACGCGGCGGGAUAUAAUUUACAUUUUUGAAAAAUGUAUCAGGGGCCCAAGUGAAAAAUUAUGCUCCCUCUGUCUGAUAUUGCUGGUCCAUUAUUCCAUUUUGGGAUGUCUUAAUAUGUAUGCCCAAUUUAAAAAAUCAACAUACAAAAUUAUACAACUUUCCUCUUUUAACCUUUCUUUUCUACAUUAUUUAAGUAAUAUUUCUAUCAAAGCAAAAAUUCAAAUGUAAUUAUUAUAAGGAAAAAAUUGGAAAGUCAAUGUAAAGAAAACCUAAUGAUUUGGUAUCCUUGCCGUGUCCGUGUCCUAAUUAUUUUUGGAGAUUUCCGUGUCUCGUAUCCGUGUCCGUGUCCCGUAUCCAUUUGCGUAUCUGUGUCCGUAUUAGUAUCCGUGCUGCAUAGGUACAAAGUCACUGACUCACUCCCUUCUCUUUACAAGCUAACCCUCUGUAUUUUUCCCAUUAACCUUCCCUAGAAUUCCCAUAAGUUCUUUUAUAGGCAAACCCUAUAAACCCUAGUCCCCACAUAAUUAGAAAAAUCUUAUAGAUAAAAAAUAAUUAGACUGGUCCCGCAGAAUACAAGACGCCCCCCAAUGGUAUUGCAUACGUGUUGUAAUUGAAAAGGCUUGAAUUAGUUAUGAUUAGGCUCAUUGUAGCGGGGUUUUUUCAUUUUCUUGUGUGUUAUAUGAUUGUUUGUAUUGACAAGACUGAUAUCUUUCCUGCAUUUUCGAAGAAAUUUGAAGCUUAAACAUGGGUUUGUUUAUUUUUCUUUACUUCUUUUCUAUUCACUUUGGAUACCAGCACAAUAGUAUUCGCAUGGGUUUUGUUUGUGUGAAUGUGAUUUUAAAAUGUGUGCUUGAAAUAGAAAAUGAUAUUUGUAUUUGAGCUUUUGUUUACGUAAUACACAAAAAUACAUAUGCACAUCCAAAUACAUACGUGCACAUAUUUUCUUUUCAAAAAACGUCCACCAAUAUCUAUUCACAGUAAGUCCAGCUGGUUAAACAUUUUUUUUGGCACUUAAAGGGAUACGGGGUACUAUGGAGUGUAAUUUCUUAGUCCAAAUUCAU
rnacentral:lncRNA from 1 species